rnacentral:rRNA from 1 species
CAUCUUUUCUUGUUAGUUUUUGAAGUAUGGCCUGCCCACUGACUUGGAGUUGAAGGGCCGCGGUAUUUUGACCGUGCAAAGGUAGCAUAAUCAUUAGUUCUUUAAUUGUGAUCUGGUAUGAAUGGCUUGACGAGACAUAAGCUGUCUUAGAAGUAUUGGUUUAUUGAAUUUGGUUUUUGAGUUAAAAUUCUUAAAUGUUUUUAUGGGACGAGAAGACCCUAUAGAGUUUGACAAUUUUCCUAUUUAUUCGUUGUUUGUUUUAUUUACAUUGAGUGGGAGUGAAUUGUUUUGUUGGGGUGAUGGGAGGAAUAUUGUUUAACUCCUCUUUGUUUUUAUAUAUUUAUGUAUAUAUUUUUGAUCCAUUUAUUUUGAUUAUAAGAUUAAAUUACCUUA